UUUAGGAAAAUACAGUUUUAUCUACUAGGAGCUUCUUCUUGAUCCACUGCCCUGCUUCCCACUUCACAGGCUCUGUCUGGAUUAGGUUCAUCUAUGCUGUAUCUACCUUGCAUUCUGAAGGAGGAAGUUUGGGAUAACUUUGGAGGAGACAUUGAUUUUCACCUCAUUGGGAAUGAUUCCUGGUACUCACAUUCAAUCAUUUUUACAUGGCUUGUGGAAAAAGGGAAUAACCCUAAGUGGAGACACAUGAGAAUGCACGACACCUUAUCAUGGAUUGGUUGGCUUAUCAGGUAAAAGCAGCAGUGGUCAGGAGAAGUGAGUACACGUUUCAUUUCGGUAAAAUACUGAGGGUUUCCUCUGUGUAAAGUUAAUACUAAGUGUAGGUGAAAUCGGAUGGGUCUUUAACAGCAGACGUUAGAAGAUAUUUAGAAGCAUGAAACAAUGACAAGAGCAAGAUUUUUAUUUAUAUAAAAGAUUUCAAAUGGGCAUAGAAGGUGUCAGUUACAAUGAAAUUCAUUCAUUCACAAGUAUCUGCUGGUUUCUAGGUCUUAGGACAUACGUGCUGGAAAUGGUCAUCUGA